GCAGUUGUGGCUCAGUGGUAGAGCACUUGCUUAGCAUGUGUGAGGCACUGGGUUCGAUCCUCAGCACCUCA
rnacentral:tRNA from 1 species